rnacentral:rRNA from 1 species
GACGAACGCUGGCGGCGUGCCUAAUACAUGCAAGUAGAACGCUGAAGCGAGGAGCUUGCUCUUCUUGGAUGAGUUGCGAACGGGUGAGUAACGCGUAGGUAACCUGCCUGGUAGCGGGGGAUAACUAUUGGAAACGAUAGCUAAUACCGCAUAAAAUGGAUUAUCGCAUGAUAAUCCAUUGAAAGGUGCAAAUGCAUCACUACCAGAUGGACCUGCGUUGUAUUAGCUAGUUGGUGGGGUAACGGCUCACCAAGGCGACGAUACAUAGCCGACCUGAGAGGGUGAUCGGCCACACUGGGACUGAAACACGGCCCAGACUCCUACGGGAGGCAGCAGUAGGGAAUCUUCGGCAAUGGACGGAAGUCUGACCGAGCAACGCCGCGUGAGUGAAGAAGGUUGUCGGAUCGUAAAGCUCUGUUGUAAGAGAAGAACGAGUGUGAGAGUGGAAAGUUCACACUGUGACGGUAUCUUACCAGAAAGGGACGGCUAACUACGUG